rnacentral:precursor_RNA from 1 species
GCUGGAGCAAGAAGAUCUCAUGAUGUGACCAUCUGGAGGUAAGAAGCACUUUGUGUUUUGUGAAAGAAAGUGCUUCCUUUCAGAGGGUUACUCUUUGAGAAAAGCAGCAUUGAAGUUG